rnacentral:rRNA from 1 species
UACGUAGGAGGCGAGCGUUGUCCGGAGUUACUGGGCGUAAAGGGUGCGCAGGCGGCCCGACAGGUGUGUGGUGAAAUCUCCCGGCUUACCUGGGAGGGGGCCACGCAAACCGUUGGGCUUGAGGCUCGGGGAGGGGCGUGGAAUUCCGGGUGUAGCGGUGGAAUGCGUAGAGAUCCGGAAGAACACCGGUGGCGAAGGCGGUCUGCUGGGCAGUUGCUGACACUGAGGCGCGACAGCGUGGGGAGCAAACAGG